rnacentral:lncRNA from 1 species
AUUUUUUUUUUUGUGAUUUUGAAGAAUGUACCCAUGUUUUGAUACAAUAAAUAUUUUGGUUAAUUUUGAUGAAUGUACGCAUGUUUUUAUACACACACACACAAUAGUAUAUUUAUAUUUUAAUAUUUUUAAUCCCACAAAUUAUGGUUUUUUUAUUUAAAAUCUCAUUUAUAUAAACAACUAAAAUUUCUAAUUUUUAAUUUAAAAAAUAUAGUAACGUACAUAGAAAUAAAUUAUCACAUUAAUUUCAGGGACCUCAAUAAAAAAUUAAAAACCAACAAAGUUUCAAUCAAAGAAUAUUCAUAACCAAGAUCUGUAUCCAAACUCUCCCUUAAAAAAAACAUUGAAAACUAAGCAUGAAAAAAAUUAACACUUCCAAACAAAAUUUAAAAGCUUCAAAACCAGGUUUUGUCCGUCACAUGCAUUCAAAUCGGGCCACGUAAACUUGUCGGUGACUUAACCAGCAAUUAUCACCCUAUCCAAUGAUUUUUAUAUUGAUAGAGUGCAUAUAAAUAUACAACACACACAUUGUUUGAUUCAUGCCGCGGUGGUUUGAUAUUAUUGUACUUUAAAAAAUCAUUUUAUAAACAGUGGCGAAAUAAAGCAUUAUGAUUUUUGGUAAAUUUUUUGUAAAAGUGUUUUUAACAAAAAAAAAUACAAUGUUAUAGUGUUUGGUAAAUUUUUAUGUAAAACAUUUGUUAUUGUGCACAAUGAUUAAAAAAAUAUGAUAUUUAAUAUUAUAUAAUAAUUUUUUAUCUUUUCUUUUAUUUUGAUAUUUACAAUAUUUAUAUAAACUAUUUACUAAACAGCUGUACUCUUUUACCCCUUUUUUUAUUAAGAUAUUUAUAAUUUUUUAAUUCUAUUCUUUUCUACAAGGGGUCGUUUUUCUUCUUUUACUUUAUUUUUGCAGAACCUCUGUAUUUUCUCUCUUCUGCCCCUCACUCCCUCUCUCCCCCUUCUCUCUCUGUCUCUCUCUACCAGAUCCUAAGGAAGGCUGGGUCAAAUCAACCGAUUCGCAAAGGAAGGAUGGACUCCAAUUUCGGGACUUACCGUCGGUGUUAGCAUCGAGGUCGUCUCGUUGAGAUUUUGGGUGUCAAGCAGAAGGGUGCAAAUCUAGCAUUCUUUGUGCAAGAUUUUGACAAAGCCUAGAAAUCAAACAAACCUCUUGCCGCUCUUGUCCAAGAAAUCCAAAGAAGCUCAGAGUGAGAGAGGACAUAAGAGAGGUAAAAAAAAAAAACCAGUUUUUUCAAAGCUGGGUUUUGCAGCUUCGUGUUUUUGGUUUUUUUUUCCUCCCAAAACUAUGAAAAAAAACUGAAGUUGAAUGUUUACCAAACACGAAAAAGUUGGCUCCUAGCUUUUUUGAUACCCACUUUUUCAAAAGCAACUCAGUCCCAAAUCAUUACUAAGUGUCUCCAUAUAUUUACAUCAAUCACUGAAAUUAAGAUGAGCAGUCCUUCCUCACCAGCUUCAAUUCCAGGUCCUAAAAGGUACGCUUAAUUUUCAUCAUUCAAUGUCUAGCCUCCGGCAGGGCUUAUAGCUCAUCUGGUUAAGGUAGCUCGAGGUUCAGGGUUUGAAUUCCUAGUUUGUCCUACAUUUACUAAUUAGUGUCUCAUUUGUCAUCAUUAAUUUUCAGGUUAGAAGGCAAAGUGGCAAUUAUCACCGGAGGUGCUAGUGGAAUUGGAGAGAGCACUGCAAGAUUGUUUGUGUUCCAUGGUGCAAAAGUCGUCAUAGCCGACGUCCAAGACGAACUAGCCCUGUCCCUCUGCAAAGAACUCGACCCAGACGGAGUUUCCAUUUCGUACAUACGUUGCGAUGUCACUGUCGAUUCGGAUGUGAAAAAUGUUGUAGACGUGGCUCUGUCGAAGUACGGAAGGCUUGACAUCAUGUACAACAAUGCAGGCAUAUCCGGCAAAUUGGACCCAACUAUUUUGGGUGCUGAUGGCGAAAACUUCAAGAAAGUGUUUGAUGUGAAUGUCUAUGGUGCUUUCUUGGGCGCCAAGCAUGCUGCUAGGGCAAUGAUCCCUGCUAAAAAAGGUGUCAUUCUUUUCACUUCAAGCGUGGCGUCAGUGACUUGCGGCCAGUCUACACACGCAUACGCCAUGUCGAAGCACGCGGUGGUGGGACUUAUGAAAAGCUUGUGCGUGGACUUGGGGCAGCACGGGAUUAGAGUCAAUUGCAUAUCUCCGGGUGCCAUGGCAACCCCGUUUCUGACGAAUCUUUUGGGGAUUGAAAGAAAUACGGUUGAGGAGAUGAUCUGCGCUUCGGCGGUGUUGAAAGGAGUGGUGCCGAGGGCAGAGGAUGUGGCGGAGGCUGCCGUGUACUUGGCGAGUGACGAGUCCAAAUUUGUGAAUGGACUGAACUUUCUUGUGGAUGGAGGUUAUAGCACCACUAAUCAGUCUCUUAGUAUGGUUUUGAGGAAUUUCAUGUCGUCAAACCAGGUUUUGUAAGCAUCAUCCAUUUGUUGUGCUAUGUUUUGAUCCUUUGUGCUUCCUCUUUUAGAGUAUUAUGAAAACUUCAUUCAAACUAGCAAGCAAAAAUGUCUGCGCGGUGCUGCAGGUUUUAAGAUCGUAUAAGAUGAUACUAUUGCUUAUAUACAUUUGUUUGGUAGUAUAAGUUAGAAAAGGUAGCUUGAUAACAUGUUUUAGAUGCUGCUUGUCAUAUUGUAGUAAGCCUUGUGCUAUUUACAUGCAUUGUUUGAGAAUGCUAAAUUCCGUACAAAUGAAAAGAGCAAAAUAAUUUAAAUGCAUGAAUUAUCAGGUCCAUAUUCUGUAUGACUGCGACAAUAGGUCCAUUUUCUUUAACAAUUUAGUUUACAUCCACAUACACUUUUGGCAUUUCAGUACACAUUCGCAGUGCACACACCACAAAAUCUGCCCUUAAUUCUUCUACAAUUGUAGCAGCCAAACAGUCUAAGUUCACCUCUCUCACACAUAAACCUAACUAGUCGCUCGUCUCCUCCCAACUUCCCGCAUACAAAUGUGCACACAGAUUGGUCGCCUUGUGGCCGGAUUUUGUGCUUUUAGAAUAAGCUCCACAAUGGAUGCAGCCGACCAAGCAGAAAGCCCUCGACACAAGGUGGUGUGUAUGUUCAAACGCGGGCACUCAGCUGGACCUAAGCUCGGGAGCUUAGUUUUGCUCAUGCUAAUCCUCGUGCUUUGGGUUAUGCUCGUGCUUUCAGUCUCUCCAACAUUAUAAAUUUGGACAAAGAAAAAAGCGUAUAGUCAAAAUUCAAAUCUAAUAUGAAGAUUGAAGAAGGUAACUAGCUUUGAAUUCUACAAUUUGUUGAGUUCCUUCGACAUGGUUCUCUCAAGCGCCCUAAUAUAGUGUACUUGUUAUAUGUGUCGAUUACAAGUUCUUGAGCUCUACUUUUAGCUCAGUUUUAAGAACACCCAACAUGGUUUUUCAUUCAAGUAUUCAAGAACUCGAAAACAAAUUUAAGAAAUGUGAAUAUAUUGUAAAUCUGCACUACGUUUUCUCUUUUGGGACUGAUAAAUAUUUGUUUUAUUUGCAAUGAAUUUUUACCUUUAGUUUAUUAUUUUCUGGAAAAUCAAGUAAUGAAACAGCAUUUUGACACAUGCUUUAUUAUCUCUUUGCAGAUAAUUAGCAUUUGGUCUUUUAUGCCAAAUGAAUUAGCAUUUUAGCAUUUGGUUUUUAUGCAAUUAGUUUCGCUGCAUGGAAAUUGAGAUAAAGUUUCAGGAGGCGCGGUGCAAUCGAAAUCGCUUCUCCAACUUAUCAUCAAGGGCAUACCUGUCCCUAUAAAUAUAACCAAACAUCCAUAGCUUUUAAAAUUUUAAUUAAACUACUUUCUACAAUUUUUGUGCCACAUUCUUUAAACUGUCCUCUUUCUAAAUUAAAAAAAUAAUAUCCAAAACUCCUAAAUUUAGCCUUCUUUAUACGAAAAUUAUUAUUAUUAUUAUUAUUAAAUGUUAUUAAGCUCAUCCUAAUGUCUUAUCACUUCACUCAUUUUAAAAUAAUACUUUUAUUAACAAAUUUGUCCUUAUAUAAAAUGACCUUCAAAGACUUAAAAACCAACCAAUCAUAUCUUAUUACAAACCCCUUCACCUCCACAAUUAGGAUAAAUCAUUAGAUAAUUUAGUAUUACCAGAUCAGCACAUAACUUCCACUCAAAAUUAUAAAUUUUUGUGCCACAUUCUUUAAACUGUCCUCUUUCUAAAUUAAAAAAAUAAUAUUUAAAACUCGUAAAUUUAGCCUUCUUUAUACGAAAAUUAUUAUUAUUAUUAUUAUAAAGUGUUACUAAGCUCAUCCUAAUGUCUUAUCACUUCACUCAUUUUAAAAUAAUACUUUUAUUAACAAACCCCUUCACCUCCACAAUUAGGAUAAAUCAUUAGAUAAUUUAGUAUUACCAGAUCAGCACAUAACUUCCACUCAAAAUUUAUCACAUAUACAAUUAUUAUACAGCUGGACUUAAAACUUAUUUAACAUAAAAAUGAAAUAAAAAAAUAAAAAAUAAAAACUUGAAGAACCCAUAAUCACCACCCUCCCCGACCUCAGCCUCCACAAAUUCACCCCAUUUUAAUUUCCUACCUCACCGCUUCAACCCCAAACACUCCUGCUUCUUCCUCCUUCCCUCUCUUUCUCCUCUCCCUCUCUCUUAUGCACUGGCUGUCUCACCGAUCGUCUCGUUUGCCAUGGCUGAGACCUUCGCCAAAUCAUCGAGGCUGUGCUCGGACGUCAAGCCCAUGUCGUCCACUGAUCUCCUCUGCGGUCCUUCAACGACUCCAUCAAAUGGGGACUCGAGAACCAUCUCCCGAUUCCAAAAGCACGCCGUUGAGGCCGACCGAGGAUUUUGGGCGAGGAGGGGCGCUGGGGUGUGUUUUUUUUUUGGGGGGGGGGGGGGGGGGGGAAGGUGGUUGGGCUGAGGUUUGGGUUUUUUGGGGAGGGGACUAUUGUGAUAUUUGGAGUUGGAGUUGUUGGGUAUAUUAGUUUAAUGAUAAUUUUCUUUUUUGUUAAAUUAUAAUAAAUUUUGUAAAGAAAGGAAAAUUGGGAGAAGAAAUAUAUAGGGUUAUUUUGAGAAUAAUGGUGGGUGGGGAAAGAGUUUAUGUGUGUUUUGUCUUUUUAUGAUGGAUGUGAAUAUAAGGUAUGUAGGGAAAUAAGAAAAUGAGGUGGGUAUAACACCAAUCAUUAUUAUUAAUUCAAACAAAGAAAGAUAAUUAUUAAUUUAUUAAUCAAUGAUAUGUACCAAAAGUUUAAAUUAAGCAUACCAAAAACUGAAACCAACGUACUAAAAAUUAAAACUAAACGUAACAAACACUAAAAUUAAACAUUUCAAAAAAAUAUUUGAACAUAAAUGUGACGACCUUUCCCUAAUUUUCCUAUGUAAUUUAUCCCCGAGUAUGUUUAUUGACGAUUAUGCCCUUAUUGGCAAGUGACGUGGACUUAUUCUUAUGGCUUUCCUUUUUAUUUCUCGCUAUCGCAUUUAAAUUGUACAUGCUAGCACGAGUAUGCGUAAAUUUUGAAGUGUAAAAAUAUCUACUUUGGAUAGAUUUUGAUUUCCUUUUUCUGUAGGAAAUCUAAAAAAAAAACUAUCCUUGGAUUCCUUUUAAACUCAUCCCGUGCACUUCCCCCUUCAUUAUUCACUAUCACCUAUCACCUAUCCCAUCCCUUCUUUAUUUCCUGUUCCCUCAAUCAGAAAAGCAUCUCUCUCUCUCUCUCUCCCUCUUCCACACCACACUUCUUCUUCUUCCUUUCUGCAACAACCACAAAACACUCAAACGUGAAAAACAAAUUACACCAUUGUGAUCAUCUCAGUCCCACGAUCACAACCAUGUCCUUGAAAUCUGGUGUGGACGAGUUUUGACUCACCAACUCGAAAGGUUGACUCGGCGAGUUCGACAUAUCGAUUUUCAGGCCAUGCAUGGCUUAGGUAAGCCUUGAGAAACCCUUAGAACCUUCAUUUCACUUCUAUGAGUUGUUAUUGAUCAUUUGUUUGUGUUUUGAACGUGUGGUUUUACCCAAAAACUCGAGAAGAAAGAGAAUCUGCCAUUUUUCACUCAAGAACCAUGGUCAUUUGGUCACUUUCAAACCGUUUUUCUGGUCAACAUUGACCACAAUUGGAUUCUUCUAGGUACAAACUUGUUCUCUACAUUCUUAACUUCAAAAGGGCUUUUGAAUCACUGAGUUGGGUUGAGUAACGAGUUAGAAAUCAACUCUGGAAGUUGGGAAGAAAAUUUUAGUUUUCUGGAAAAUUUCAGCCGUGGUCGUUUGGCCACUUUCAGGCCAAAUUUCUGAACAACACGGACUAUAUUCGAACUUUCUGUAAAUUGGGAUUGGUAGAUCACAUUCCUAGCUUUAAUUUGGCUUUUGUAGAAGUGAAUAUGGUUGAGAAUCGAGCUCGUUAUGGGCUCUGGAAGUUGGGCAAAAAAUCUGCAAAACUGUAGAUUUUCGCAAAGAAGGCGAGUAUAAUGUACUCGCGGGGGCG